UUUUAAUUCCAUCUAUACUAUAUUAUUGGAAGAAUGGGGUUAAUAGAAACAAAGAAUCAACGAUGGAAGCAGUAGCAUAGGGACUAUGGGGAUUAGCGGCGUGUGAUGAGAAACGAGGCGAAAUAGGAAUUGCCUUUGAAGUCAAUAUCAUCUUGUUUGGAAUUCAAGUGUCGAACUUGUAGAUUCAUCAACAAAUUCUAAGGCUCUUACGUUUACUGCUUCUGCUGGACAUGUGUGAUUACAAGAAUGUUGCACCCCAGCAGGCAAUCUAGAUGUUGUUGUGAAGGCUUAUAGGAAGCGAACACAACAUAUGCAAGAUCUAACGAAGGAUCAUAGAGCUAGUGAGGAUCAUAGUAAUUUAGAUCAAAGUCUUUGAGUCUAAUCUUCACUACAAUCAGGGAAGCUUGUCCUGUAAAGCAAACAAUACUAGAUCAAAUAGUGAAAUGAAUGUCUAUGUACUAGUUGAUCUAAUUGUUGUAUUUGUACUGGUUGAUCUAAAAUUGUUUGCUUUAGAGACGGUGCUUCAUUGUCCUUAUAGUCAAGAUUAGACUUUGAAAUACUUUGAUCAAAAUUGAAUAUAAGGAUAUUUUUCAACAUAUUUUAAUGAGUCCGACAUGUGUUAUUAAACUCACAAGUGAUGUAACAAAAGAAUAUUGGAUUUUUUUAAAGAUAAACAUUAUUGAAUAUUUAUAAAAUACCACUAUAAGAUAAAACAAACUUUGAUCACAUAUUUGAAUGGUGGAAUCUUCUAUCGUUAUAUUUAGAAUUGGAAAUGUCAAACCCAUCAUUAUUAGUUAAUUCUCCUCGUGAUAGUCCUAACACUGAUGGAUUUGAAUUUUCUAAAUCCAAAAAUCUCAAGAUAGAAGAUUCCAACAUUCAAACAAGUGAUCAAAAUUUAUUUGUAUCAUAUUUCCACCAUUCGAACAGGUGAUUAAAGUUUAUUUUUUAUAAAGAAUCCAAUAUUUUCUGUUACAUUACAUAUGAAUUUAAUAACACAUGUCAAACUUAUUAAAUUAUCUUGAAAAAUAUCCUUAUAUUCAUGCAUGCAAGGAGAAUCAACUAAACUCUUCACAUGCAUGCGAGUGAAAAUUGUCUACACACAAGAUAGCAAGAAAGCUAAAGAAUAUUUGCACUCACUUAAAUCUCAACCAAAUUAUUACCAUAGCAUUGCAUGAGGUGGUCGUCGUGCAAAUAUUGAAGUGGAAAAGAACAUCUGGUCCAUUACAAUAAAACAAAGAAUUAGUGUGUGACAGACCGAUGACAAUGUUAUAUAGCAAACUCAUCACAAUUGAAGUUCCAUUCAUUUUUGGAAACAAGAGUGUUAAAACACAUGCAAUAUGCAUGAAAAUAAGUAACACCGUCAUAAUGUGAAGAGUUAAGAAUAAUGGGGAAAAAGAAGGGGGAUUUAUUUAUUUAAAAAUUCCAAUUUAUGUUGAUGUGAUGUUUUAUAUUAUCUAGUUGUUUUGUUGAUAAAUUUGGUUGAAGGAGGAACCUUGUUGUUAAGCGAAGACCUUGAGUUUGCUAUGUUGAAUUCAAAUUUGACAUAUAAAUCAGAUUACCUCAGUAAUAAUAACAUAAUCUUUUCUUUUAA